rnacentral:rRNA from 1 species
AGAGUUUGAUCCUGGCUCAGGAUGAACGCUGGCGGCGUGCUUAACACAUGCAAGUCGAACGAACCUUCGGGUUAGUGGCGGACGGGUGAGUAACGCGUGAGAAUCUGCCCUCAGGAGGGGGAUAACGGCUGGAAACGGCCGCUAAUACCCCAUAUGCCGAGAGGUGAAAUGAAUUUCGCCUGAGGAUGAGCUCGCGUCUGAUUAGCUAGUUGGUGUGGUAAAGGCUCACCAAGGCAUCGAUCAGUAGCUGGUCUGAGAGGAUGAUCAGCCACACUGGGACUGAGACACGGCCCAGACUCCUACGGGAGGCAGCAGUGGGGAAUUUUCCGCAAUGGGCGCAAGCCUGACGGAGCAACGCCGCGUGAGGGAUGAAGGCCUCUGGGCUGUAAACCUCUUUUAUCAAGGAAGAAGAUCUGACGGUACUUGAUGAAUAAGCCACGGCUAAUUCCGUGCCAGCAGCCGCGGUAGUACGGGAGUGGCAAGCGUUAUCCGGAAUUAUUGGGCGUAAAGCGUCCGCAGGCGGUCUUGAAAGUCUGUUGUUAAAGCGUGGAGCUCAACUCCAUUUCAGCAAUGGAAACUAGAAGACUAGAGUGUGGUAGGGGCAGAGGGAACUCCCGGUGUAGCGGUGAAAUGCGUAGAUAUCGGGAAGAACACCAGUGGCGAAGGCGCUCUGCUGGGCCAUAACUGACGCUCAUGGACGAAAGCCAGGGGAGCGAAAGGGAUUAGAUACCCCUGUAGUCCUGGCCGUAAACGAUGAACACUAGGUGUCGGGGGAAUCGACCCCCUCGGUGUCGUAGCCAACGCGUUAAGUGUUCCGCCUGGGGAGUACGCACGCAAGUGUGAAACUCAAAGGAAUUGACGGGGGCCCGCACAAGCGGUGGAGUAUGUGGUUUAAUUCGAUGCAACGCGAAGAACCUUACCAGGGUUUGACAUCCUGCGAAUCCCUUGGAAACUUGGGAGUGCCUUCGGGAGCGCAGUGACAGGUGGUGCAUGGCUGUCGUCAGCUCGUGUCGUGAGAUGUUGGGUUAAGUCCCGCAACGAGCGCAACCCACGUCUUUAGUUGCCAGCAUUAAGUUGGGCACUCUAGAGAGACUGCCGGUGAUAAACCGGAGGAAGGUGUGGAUGACGUCAAGUCAUCAUGCCCCUUACAUCCUGGGCUACACACGUACUACAAUGCUACGGACAAAGGGCAGCAAACUCGCGAGAGCUAGCAAAUCCCAUAAACCGUGGCUCAGUUCAGAUCGUAGGCUGCAACUCGCCUACGUGAAGGAGGAAUCGCUAGUAAUCGCAGGUCAGCAUACUGCGGUGUAUACGUUCCCGGCCC